ACGGGUGAGUAAUGUCUGGGAAACUGCCCGAUGGAGGGGGAUAACUACUGGAAACGGUAGCUAAUACCGCAUAACGUCUUCGGACCAAAGUGGGGGACCUUCGGGCCUCACACCAUCGGAUGUGCCCAGAUGGGAUUAGCUGGUAGGUGAGGUAACGGCUCACCUAGGCGACGAUCCCUAGCUGGUCUGAGAGGAUGACCAGCCACACUGGAACUGAGACACGGUCCAGACUCCUACGGGAGGCAGCAGUGGGGAAUAUUGCACAAUGGGCGCAAGCCUGAUGCAGCCAUGCCGCGUGUAUGAAGAAGGCCUUCGGGUUGUAAAGUACUUUCAGCGGGGAGGAAGGCGAUGUGGUUAAUAACCGCGUCGAUUGACGUUACCCGCAGAAGAAGCACCGGCUAACUCCGUGCCAGCAGCCGCGGUAAUACGGAGGGUGCAAGCGUUAAUCGGAAUUACUGGGCGUAAAGCGCACGCAGGCGGUCUGUCAAGUCGGAUGUGAAAUCCCCGGGCUUAACCUGGGAACUGCAUUCGAAACUGGCAGGCUUGAGUCUCGUAGAGGGGGGUAGAAUUCCAGGUGUAGCG
rnacentral:rRNA from 1 species